CCCGGGCCUCCGGGACCCGCCCGACGGGGCCGCCGCCCUCACGGCCCGGCCUGCGCGCAUCGGAGCGCCGGGAGAGCUGCUGCGGGGCGAAUGUCUUUGCGGUGACAUUGUGGUCACACCGGCAGGGCUCGCCCUUGAAGGACAGCGCGGACCUGCCCCAGGCAGGGCCCCGAGCGGCGUGAGACGAGCUCUGCGCAACGAGCCCGGCAGCCGCUGCCUUUUGGGGCGGCCGAAAACGCCCAGGGUCUUGUAGCACCCCUGCGUGCUGUUGUAAAGAUCGGAUCUUCCUCCUUCCACAGGAUUCUCCAAGAUAAAGUAUGGUGAUUUUAAAAGCGAUGCUCUUCUUCUUGAAGAGGAGCGGAAGAGUUUGUCUAGCAUGUUGCUCUGUGCAGGGCUGUAAGAUUUGGCUCAAAUGCCCGUGUGGGAGCAGAGAUCACUGCUCUUUGCACUGAGCCACAUUUCUGCACAAUUAACAGAGCCAUCUGUGAAACAUUUCUCUCCUUCUGGGAUGGACUGUGGGAAGAGCAUGAAAGAUCUCCCAGCUCUUGAGUGAACCAGCCUGUGCCCAUGCUGCAAAGCAGAUGGCUCCAGGCACAUUAGUGCAAGAAGUGUCCUCAUCACUGCUGUCAAGUAAAAAGACUGACACUGUCUCAGCAAAGAGCUCAGGGCAGGAAAAUGGGAGGAGCUUGUAAAUCUAAACAACAUGAUGUAAAUUGCCAAAUAUAGUUGAGGGAAAGCCUGAGCACUGAACUCCUGCCUGGUCACACUACUUACUUACUGCUUUGCUGUUACAAAUGGACCUUUCCCCCACUCCACACCAAGGGAAAGAUCAGCACACUGCAGGGAUACCAUUGCUGAAGUGUCCUCCAGAUGGCUAUGGAAGGAAGAAAGCAUCUCAUUGGGAGGAGAGUGAUGUUCUGCAGAGUGGAAAUGUGCUGCACAUAUGCAGAAGGAGACAAACCUCUGUUAGACCCUGCUGGAACUUACUAGAGAAAUUUUAUUGAAAUCUGGGACCAGAUGUCUCAUCCUUUCUCCAUUGCUACAUUUCAGGACCAAGUAGUUCUUGCUUAAUAUUUGCUGUUGGUUCCCUGUCAGGAUUACCAUAUUGUCAUAUUUAAAACAUGUAGUGCUUUAGAGGAAAUAUCCAAAUUCUGGGGGACUCCUAGUCUUUUUUUGGGUGUCGAGCAUAGUGAGAAUAACCAACAGUCUGAUGGUUUCACUGUCAUGAACUUUCUCUCCUGCAAAAUUCUUCUGCCCAUGAGAGAGCUUUUUAGGUCAAUAUGCCCAUGUGCUUAGCACAGAAGAGCUGUGGGUGGCCAGGCAGAGCAGUGUCGCUGAGAUCACACAUGAAACUCCUGGGAUGCACAGUUAGAAGCUGUUAGCUUCUAAGAAAACUUCUAAGCUUUCUAACUAAGAAAGAACAGCAGGUAGGACUGGGAGGGAUGGGGAAUGGGACUGUGUUCAGUUCAUCACAUAUUGUCUACACUGCUUCUUCUUCCUCAGGGUGAGGACUCCUCACACACCUCCUCUGCUCCAGCAUUUGGUCCCUCCCACAGGAGACAGUCCUCCAUGGGUUCUUCCCAUGGGCUGCUGUUUUGCACAAAUUGAAGACCUGAAUACCAGUGAAAUGUAGACAGAGGGGAAAAUUUGAAUAUAUAUAUAUAUGUCCUCUUUAAAACAGUCUCUGCAGGUAACUGUUGGAUGCAAGACUGGAGAGCAGAAAGUUACAGAACCUGUCAUUUUGUCAUGACUGGAGUAAAAAAUCUGGCAUCUAAAUUCUCAGGGCUACUGACUGAUUUGAUCACCUUACCAGGCUGUUGUGAAUUCAAAAUCCUGAUUUACACUCUGUUUUUGUUCAUGGUAUCUGCAGAAAUGUACCUGGAAAAACUCUCACCCCUGAAAUUAAGCGAUCCAGGACUUCAGCUUUUUUAGAGAUACUUCCAUUGUAAUGACCUGUGUACCUUCACCUGUUGAAAUGGUUUUCCUUGAAUGUCUUUAACUGCAAAAUUGCAGACAGUACAGAAUUUGCUUGUCUGCCAGCAUCUGGCAAUAUAAACAGUGUUAAUAAGCCAACAAGCAUUUUUGUUCUUCACAGCUCUUUUGGUUAGUAAGCCAGAAUGGAUCGUGAUUACAUGGAUUACAUGGAGAAAGCCUCAGGGCUCCAGAUCCCUAAACUGAAAUGAUGGUCAGAAUUUUCCAGACUGACAGAUGAGAAAGAAAGGGAUAAAAGAAUGCAAGGAAAUAUCAGGGAAAUAAUUUGUUUCUGAUUUGAAUAAUCAUAAUUGUCAUUCACUCAUUUUCAAGUAGGUGUCCUAAUUUGUGUCUAGUUCAGGUUUAUCCCCUAAGCCCCCAUCCCAUCUCAUAUCACCUAACCAUAAAGCUGAGUUUCUGUAUGUGGAGAAGAGGUGCUGCCCAUAUCUGAGGAAGGAAUAGCAAGUGAUUCUCAGGGCUUUGGGAAAGACAAACACACAACCUACUGCCUUCAUGCCUUCCUGGAGAGACUUGCAUCCUGUACAAGGACAUGGAACUGUCUCAAAUCCACCAGUGUGGACCAGCCCCAGGCACCUAAAUGAUGUAUUCUGCUUAGACUGGCAGUGAGUGGGUAGAACACAGCUAUUUUGUGUCCCUACUUUAUCUGAAUGUUUUACAGACUACUUUCAUAUAACACCUCUUAGUGACCUUUCUGUCACCUUCAAACAGGUCCCCACUUGGUCACAGCUUCUGUGCCCACCAGUGACAGCUGCUCAGGCAGUCCUGGAGUUCUUGUUCUAACUCCCUGAACUGAGAUUCCUAAUCUACUCACCAGCUGCAGCCCUAACCCCCUAACUUUUAACAUUAUAAACUUCUAAAAAUGUCCCAGAAUUUGUGCGUCCAGGUGCAAUCUUUGCUCUUCUGUAUUCACAAGCACUUUGCAAAGCACACCUGUUAUCACCAAUUAGAGCUGUAGGAAGCUUGCAGAACUUGUAUUUCCAUGUGGGGAAUUAAAAAGCCCUUGGGGGUCUGCAAAAUUAGACCUGCCAAGCCUUGUGAUUUGUCAAUCAGUGUCUGAGAUGGCCACCUACUUACACAGGACACUUGCCCCUCCAAGGGGGCUGCAAUAACAGGAUUUCCCAUCACACAAUACCAAACCUCCAGUAGGAAAGCAGGUGGGUAAAAGAGGAACCUUUUGCUGGUUCCGGGAGCAGCUUGGAGAUGUCAUCCAGCUCUGACAGCCCAAGCUGAGGCAUCACCUGCCCUGAGCAGAGCUGUGGCUGGGGACUGCACAGUAUGAGAGGCAGAAGGCUGGCAGCAGUGACUUCUGCCAUGCACUUGCAAAUCACACUGUGCUGCACCUGAGAGCAUGAGAGCUUCUGCUCACCACCUCCUGUGUGGUCACAAGAAAACCUCUGUCAGCGAGAAAUAAAGGCUCAGACCACACUUCAGUCUAAGUUUGUGAGCCAAUAGUGCAUCCCAGAGGCAACUUGAACAGGACUUGAACUGGCUGAUUGCAGGAUGCUCCUGGCUCAGAUUUUUUACUGCUUGUGAAAAAAAUAAUCAACCAACCAAUCAAUUAGAAGAAAAGACCCUCUUCAGGGAAGUCCAGGAGCAAAGGCUGAUGCAUCAGCUUCCUUCAAGAACAUCUUUCCACUGCAGAAUGGACUUGUCACAGGUCCUCGUGUCAGUGUUUUCAUGUCCAUGCAGAGAAGCUGCAGGGACUUCAGUAGAAGGAGACCUUCUCUGUGCCUAGCCAGAAAGAUACUGCAGGUGUCAGGGUUGGGGUAAAGGUGUUUGGGAUGAGGGAAUGGUCUUUGGGAGGAGGCCAGAUUACUUGGUGACCUGACUGACUUUAGGAAACCAGUGAACUUCUGGUGAACUCUUGCUUCCUGAGGCAAGAAUAUGCUCUGUCUUUCCUAGCCUUGCAGACAGAAGUUCUUCCCUCUUAUGCUGAGACACUCCUAAAGGCUGCAUGUUUCUCACACCCAGCAAGUCACCCCCACUGCUGACUGCAUGAGAGAGACUUGACCACAGAGCAGCUGACAAAUGCAUACAUGCCAGUGGCAAGAUGGUAGGACAUGUGGCCAGUGGAUACCAGGAGCGUGCUGUCUCCCAGUGGCAAAGAGGAUACUGCUGGCUGGCUGGGUAUGGCAUGACCUCUGUAAGAAUCAGACAGGGGUUUUGCUCAGUUCCCCUGAGGCCAUGCUAAGUGGUUGGCAUGGCUCAGGCUCCAGCAUAGUCCUGAGUGUUUGUGGAUGGAAAACAGGCAACUGAGGGACAUGAGAGCAGCCUGACACCCCCACAUUCACACUUCACUCAGGCGUGCAGGGCAAGAAACUGGAGAAUAUGCAUCUAGCACUUGGUAUCAUGCCUGUAUCAGGCUAUUGAUAUGACAAUGGCAAUGUCUAGGAAUGAACUAAGGGCUUUGGGCAACUUCCCACCUCUUCCUUCUCUCCAAGCCCUGAAGUACAAGUAUCUUCACUAGCAGACGAUGCCAAAUUACAUCAAGAAGACGUGUGGGUGGGACUUCUCAUACAAAACUACAGAAGUCCAAGCCCAAGUUAUCUGUUGCCUUUGCAGCAGGUGAAGACCCGUGAGCUAAACACAUUGCAUCCAUCUGUCUGGUGCUCACCUUGAGUCAGUGAUUGGCAGGGGCCAUUUGCCUUUCCUGAGCACAGCUCAGAGGUUGUCUCUGAGGGCUUGGCUGGCUGCCUGGCCCUCAAAGGAAAAAACUUUGUGGAAAAAACAUGCAGCUUUGUGGUCUGAAGACAGCAGCCCCCAGAGCCCAGCCCUGCUGCUCCCACCAAGGUGGAUGAAAACAUUUGUAGCUGUACACAAGGAAUAAGUGCGGCCCUCAGCAAGAGGAGAGGUGCUGGCAAGGCAGAGUCAUGGAGGCAGAAGGACCUACGCCAGGGUCUGGUUUGAGGGGAUGGCUGACAUGGGAAGCAGCACAUGGCUCAGGUACAAGCCAUUGGAUGGCAGGAGGGAGAAUAGGACUUUUGCUUUGCUGAAGUCUAACUUGGAAGCCUUUUCCCCUUUGGUUCAUGGAUUGUCUAAGUCUAGCAGUAUAAAAAAGAAAUCAGGAGCUUGGGUGAAAUCCCGCAGAAGGGCACAGAGGAUGUUUGUGGUGUGGCCUCACCUCCACAAGGGUUUGUUUCCUUCAGCAGUCCUCCCACAGCUCCUGCUUGGCUCCUGGAAGGGCACCAUAGCUGCAGAGGAUGCUGGCCCCAUGAUCACGGCUCCAGAUGGGAAGGAAAUCAUAGAAUGCUUUGGGUUGGAAGGGCCCUUAAAAGUCCUCUAUUUCCAACCCUCCUGCCAUGGACAAGUACACCUUUCACUGGACCAAAUCCUUGGAGUUGUAAUUCCACAUGCCCCCAGAACUAACAUUUAAUCUUAAGACAAGUGUUAAAUCUACCUAGGCUUUGAAAACACAGUGAUAUUAAAUCUGAAUUUAAAACAGUUUAUGCGUAGACCAUAACAACAUUUUAAUGGGGAAAAAAUACACAGUCAUUUCAAGCUUGAGGAGUUUAAGUACUAUGGGUUUGUAUAAAUGGCUGAUAUGUUAUUUGUUUAUUGGGCAAUCUGCUUUUUUAUAUUGUUUGUCAGGCUAUAUAAUUUUAGGUGAAAGCUUUUUAGCAUGCUGCACCUGCCAGAAGAACUUUCUUAGUACACAAGUUUCUGCUUCGGUGUGCAUAGAAAAUAGACCACUAAUUGCCUUCUUACCUGUCUAGCACUGUUAACCAGAACCUGGCUGGCUGCUCUGUAAAUUAGGCAACCCUAUUAAUGGUGCUCCUGCAUAAAUCAGCUGAGCACUACAUAGUUGAUUUCAUUUGAGAUUCACAAGAGGAUCAUUUAGUUAAGAGGCUGGUUUGGGCAAAAGUAGCACUUCUUUAUUAAAUCCUUGGUUUCCUAACCACAGUGGGGGACAGGAAGUGAUCACUUCACAGGACACCUGCCAAGAAUGGGAAACCUGGAAUCUUUCACUGGGUUUAUUUCUUGGGACAGGUUCCUUGCUUCCCUUGAGCCUUUGCCUGUGUUGGUGUGCUCUGGAUCUUUGGACUGCAUAUUACUCCAAGGGGAAGUCAUCUUCUAGUUUGGGCUAGUGCUGGGACCAUAUGGCCCAGAUGGCUGUGGGGUUUCUGAAAGCUUCUUUACUACGAGGUGAUGUCUCACUUCCUUCAGUUGCCGUGAUGAAAUUACUCUCACGAAGGUUUCUGCAAUGCCACGUGGAUUUUAUUGACUGUGAAAAACUAUUGUAGAUGCAAUAUAGCACAACUGCCUCAAAUCAAAAGAUCUAAUGGUCAUGCCUGGCUAGAAACCCAGUGGCUGGGUGUUGCUGUGUUGUAGCUCACUGAGUGGUGUUUCAAGGCUCAGGCAUUCAUUUGCUCCUUGGCAGUGCAGACACCACCUUUGUCAAGGGUCAGUGCAGGCUGCCCAGAGCUUUUGCAAACUGAAACAAGCUGAGAGUAGCGAGUGUCUCACAAUCCCUCUGCAAGCACUCAGUGCUUGCUAAGAGCCAAAUCCAGAGGUGCCCUCCCAAGGAUCAAAUGCCCAAUGCAUUUCUUACCAGUUGGGAGAGACUCUGACCAUUCAACUCUCCCUUAACACACUACAAGACCAGGCAGUCUCCCAAGUCACAUCGAGUGUUUUCUGACUGCUGGUUUUUAAAGCCUCCGGUUAUUCCCAAAGCUUGGACCAAAUACUGAGUUAAUGAUUACUGGGUGAAGUUUCAGUGGUUAUUUUGAGGGGACAGCCUUUUCCAGCCUUCUGGACACCUGAGGCAGGACAUUUAAUCAAUGUCUUUGUCCUUGUCAGCUGAUGCAUUAAAUCAGAUGGUGUUCAAGUACAUAAAAUCAUUUCAAGCAUUGACAACGUGCUUUCCAGUGUGCAGGUAAGGAGCAAUAAAAACUACAUGCAUCAUUCAGAGAAUAAAAAUCAGGUCAAGUUUUCAAUUAAAUGUGUCAACCUAUACCCAUUAUGUGUGUGCAGUUCAUCAUCCCUUCAUAAAGAUAUUGAUUUUUUUUUCCUAGUCUUUUAUGUAAUUGUGGAUUUAAAUCACAGCCUUAUGAACUUGAUCUGGACUCGAAUUGUGAAUCUUAUACAGAAAUAAAUAUAUAAAUACAGACUGAACAGAAGUAGUAUAAAAAGUAAGGAAAUUGACAUAUAAUAAAGGGGUUUGGAAAUACUAGACAGAAACAUAAUUAACAAGAUUAGAACAGAGAAAGUGAAAGAGAAAGCAGAUGAAAGAAAGUGGUGGAAGAUAAGGCAAGGGGCAAGAAAGGCAAGCAGAGGAGUUUUGCAGAUCAGUGGAAAUAGUCAAAGCUACAUGGAUCCUGAAUAUAUCUUAUAUCUAAAUUGCACUUAAAACAGUGCAUUAUAAAUAAAUAAGCAAAGCUAAGAUGUUACACUGUACAGGAAAUGUUUAGAUUAUUUUAUAUACAAUGGAAAAUAGUAGUCAUUGUCACUAAGUGAGUGAGAAAUCUAUAUUAUUUAAUUGCCUCCACUUACUUUUGUCUUAGUGAGUUAUCUGUGAGAAAAUUCUAGUUACUUUUCCUUGAUUUUUUACAACAUGAGAGGUCCAAAAAGUUUUCAGAAGGUAGACGUCUCAAUUUAGAGAAUAUAUCAGCAUUUCAAUAUUUAGAAUUAACCUGUGCUAAUGACUGAAUGAGCCUGUAAACAUAAGAACUAGGCCCAUUGUGGUGAAUUGCACAGACCAGGAAAUACAAGCAAGGAAGCUGGCUGAACAGCUUCAGUUGAUACCACAUCUGUGUGCUCUCUGACAUGGCAUUUUGUAUGCUGCCCUCCUCCUCCUCCUCGUUCCCAGGGCUCUUCUCUUAUCUGCAACAUGUUAUAGACAAACUCACUUAAAAGAAUGCUGCGUUUCUUCUGCUUUGCCUCUGUAGAUCCUUCAGCCCAAGACUUAUUCACUACUCAAAGGACAAAGGGAUGGCUUUUCUUGUGGAUUUCCUCCUAGCACUUCCCUCUGUGGAGUUUGAAAUGUUCACAGCACCUGCUGAGAUUCUGUGAUAUCAGAUAUGGAGGGAAGAAAGAAACCUGAUGCCUUGAUUUUCAAAUGAAUUUCAGUCAUUGCAUAACCAUAUAAAUACCUUCUGAAAUCCAUGUUAGAUCAAGUGUCCUAAGGUUAAAAAAGUGUCCCCUAGUUCUUAGUGUCUACUUGAAGCUCUCAGAAGUGCUACUGGAGCUAAGAAAAAAGACUGUGUGGACAGCGCUGGAAGGGGUCAAGACACUUCCAGAGCCCAGUUCUUGUGUCAUUGGGUGUUCACAACCAGAGCCCAAAAGCUUCCUUUUCUCUUGGCAGUACCUUGAGCUGAUGCAGACCAGAAAAGAAAGGUGUUUGCAGAUGGAAACCCAUUCUGGAAAAUUUAACCCAAGAGACUGACCGAGAUUACAUUAUCUCCCUUUGGUCAGACCUGCUGGAGCAUAGCCCAGGUCCUGCUUCCCACUUGGGGAGAGGGAUGGUGAGAGCCCAGCCUCCCUCUCUCCUGGCUUCUAGACCCAUGCUUCCUUCAUGGAAAAGGUCCUUCAUGACCUUUUUCCUCCAUGCCCAGGGCUGGAGGAUGGAGCAUUAGUAAUACCUCCCAACAUUUCCCUGCAGGGCUCAAUAUCACAAUUGCCACAUGGUGAGCUCUCAUGCAGUCCUCAGGUCCAGGGCAGGGAUCUGCUCACUGCUGUGAAUAUAUAAAGGAUUGGCUGCUAAGUUUUAAGAUGUAUCUGUGGAACCUGUGUAGUGUGCAGCAGUUCAAAGUUUGAUUAAAUGUGGGCAGCUUUGCAUAAAAAGAUUGAUCUGGAGAGACAUUGCUGUGGGACAACAUCCCAAAAGGAAUUCUAACAUACUUAAAUCCAGCAAAAAAACACAGCAGCUAAGAAAACAGAGCAGGAAAAUUCUGUGCAAGGUUACUGUCUCCAGAUAUUGGCUAUUCCUGUCCUCUACUCUUGUUUGGGAUGAGCUGUACACCGUUGCUUUUGCUUUCAGAGCCUUGCAGAGGAGGCAGUGACUCCACACCCUCCCUACAUGGGCAGCUACUGUGUGUCACGGUUUCCCAGCUUCACUUUCAUACCAAUCCAAACAAUUACAAGGAAAAAUUCCCCACAUGUUUGGUGAGAGGUAGAGAUACAGAAUGGAAAAUUUCAGCUCAAAUAGUUGAAGUCCAGCAAAGUUACAACGGACAAACAAGAGGGGAGGACUAUGGUGAGAACUGCCAGGUGCCACUUGCCUUGCCAGGUUCUGUCUGAGCCCCAAACCUCACGUGCCCCAAAGAGCCUGGGGUCUAGGGGAAAAAAUAAAGCAGUCAGGGGCUGCUGCAAGAGUUCUUUUUAGAUUGAUGAUUCUACCCUGGAUUCCUCUAGCUGUAACUUUCUGGAUAAACAUAUAUAUAUGUAUAUGUACGUAUAUGUAUUUUUUCCCCUAGUCCUAUCUGGUAUAAUAAACACUGAGUAGAGAACAGAAAACUGUGGGGCAAAAAAAUAUGAAACAGCUGUGUUUUCAGCGGGAAUGUUUACAGUAUUCAAAAGUAAUUCCUCAGCCCUUCUUACGAGACAGUGAAACUGUGCUUCCCUUUCAUUAUCACUCUCUGGUGAUAAUGAAAUAAUUAAUAUUGGGGAAGAUGGAAAAAAAAUCAAAGGUGCAAAUUAGAAAGUGUAAAAAGAGACUACAUAUAUAAAAGACUGUACUAUUCCCAGCUUUGCCAAGGCAAAUUCCCUAUGUAUUUCCUGGACAAGGUCUUGUUUAAAAUGGCUGCGUAAACAUGACUUCCUGCAGUUCAAGCUCUCUUCUCUCACACCUUCAGUGUGAAGAAGCUGAUGUGUGGUGGGAAGAGCAAACUGAACCUGCUGUGUGCCAAUGCUGAAUCGCUCAGAGGCCUACAAAAACUUCUUGCCAAAAAAAAAAGCUGAUGAACCAGUCUUACUUUAGGGCAGGUGGAAUAGUUCGUGCUCUCAUUUUAUCGUUAGCUCUAAGAGAGAAAGACAGAUUUGUUUUCACAUGGUUAUUGAUUAUUAACCAGCUUUGUGAAAGGUUACCUUUCUGCUAGAUACAGCCAUGGUGGGGGGUUAAAAAUCAAUCUCUGGGAAAGCUCUGUUUCCCAGUCAACUUCUCCCAGUGAGGUCCCUCACCAUGGGUAGAGUUUACCUGUGUUGGUUUGAGCACAGAUGAGAGAGAAAAGGAGAUUAUUGUGAAUAUGUUCCACUCACCUUCAGUACUUCUUUUCUGUCUAAAUGUGGAUUCCAGAAAAGGGUUUGAGCACUGAGAAGUUGUUAAAUAUUAUACAGAUAGAGAAAAUCUAACCAGAUUAUUUUAGGAACUGUGACUGUACUAUACUCCUUACUGUUUUACACUCUAAUUAGACAGUCAGGGUGGUGGGAGGAAUGAUAAAACUUCCAUAGGUUAUAAUAGGAAAGGGAGCUAAUUGAGUAAGGGUUCACAAAUUAUUUGUGUUGAAAGGCAAACCAAAUGCUCCUGUCAUCUUUCCUAGGGAAAAAAGGUAAUGCUGCAUCCAGAUGGCCUUAGUUUUCACUGAUCUCAGCAGCCUGCAGUCAUGUCUGUCAGACACUGCUGGGGAAGACUUCCAAAGAACAGUGACUCACAUCAAACCCCUGAAUUAACCAUUUGGAGGCAGGAACAUUGCAAAUGCCCUCGGAUUUCAAGAAGCAUAUUGUAUAUGUUGGCACACAUUUUAAAACCACAUAGAUAUGAUGUUAGGCAUGUGAUCUUGCUUUCAGAACCCCUGGCCAUUCAGAGAUUUGUAUUAUAUUGCAAAGUUCUAGGCUUCAUAGAAUACGGAAUGAGUUAACUAUGCAGAUUGUCUCUUCUCUGUCAAACACCGGGCUAGAGGAAUGUGAUUGAAUCUUGAGAAGUCCUUAAAACAUGCUUGAAUCUAAUAUGCUAACUCAAGUAUUGCAGUGCAGCUAUUGUGUGAUGUUACUGUAGGACAGCAGCAGCUGUGCACCUGAAGCAUUUGCUUCUUGAAUAUCUGAAUCCUGUGCUUGCGCUGAGGAUAGUUACAACCUGCUGCUCUAUUUAACACUGCUGCUAUCACCAUCAUUAUAAUUACUGCUACAGAAUCGAGGAUUCCUUCUUGUCUAAUCUUUUGGACUAGCAAGGUUACUGUGAGAAUUUCUGUUUAUGCAUACAAAUAUCUCAAGGGUGAGUGCCAGAGGAUGGGGUCAGACUCUUUUCAGUGGUGUCCAGUGAAACAGCACAACAGGUACAAACAGAAAGACGCAAAAUUCCAUUUGAAUAUGAGGAAAAACUUCCUUUCUUUGAGGUUGACAGAACACUGAAACAAGCUGCCCAGAUAGAUUCUGGAGUCUCCUCUGGAGAUAUUGAAAUCUGGAGUUUCUUUUCAGCCUGAACUAAAACUGUGUUAAUUGGGUUUUGGGACUAUGUAUGAGACACAACACUGAACUUUUCAGCUCCAUGGAUGAAGUUGGGGGAUUUAAGCAAAUGUGCCAGCCAUAAAUAUCCCCAAGUUAUGAGGGACUUCUGCAGUCCUUUAAAACUUCCUACAACAGGUAAAGUACAGGAUCUCCAGCUGAACUGUAGCAUACAUCCAGAUGGGGUUAAGGGUGGGGAAAUUCUACCUGUUCCGUUGUUGAUUUGUUCCUGUGUGCGAAAUGUCCAUUACUUUUCUCUGUUUUCAAUGGUUAAAACUUGACUGUACAUCUCCCAGUGGGAAUAAAGAUGUUUGUAUCAACCAUUUUUUAUUUUCACUGCCUACAGACUGAGGAUGGUCAAGUUUCUCGUUAUUCCAAGCCUGCCAAAACCAGACUUGGGGAGUGAAGACGGGGAAGUUUUCAGCAGGGAGAUGACAAUGUAUGUACAGGAGAACCUGGACUCAUCAUUCAAAGUCCACAAAUGAGCUAGAGGCAAGGAUGCACCUUUUUAUCUCUUGCAUUGUGCCUACCCAUCUCAAGGCUCUUCUAGUCGGAAAAUUAAGACUGUUUAAAUGCAGUCAGUGGCAGGGUCAGCUGUGUCUCACACAGCAGCACUUAAUCAGGGGAACACUUUGUGCAAGCUGGUGAGAGGCAAAAUGUUUACAUCAAGUUUCAGGGAAGAUUUAAAAUGUGGAAAAAUCAGCUGAGGACUAUUACAUUCAUAGCACUUGGGAACUCCUUGGAGCACAAAAUUCUGGGAGUUUAGUAGAAGAUGUUUUGAUGUCUUGUAUGCACACCCUUCUGCAAGUCCCUCAGGUGAUGCAUAUUGACCACUUUCAGGGAUGAAUUUGUGUCGGCAGAGCCCAGUUCUGGGGCAAGUGAGGCCAUUGGCCAUUCCUAUCAUUCUCAUCGGCCUCCUCCAUCAUCCAUUUUCCACAUCGAGUGGACAAUUUCCCAUUCGGGUGGGACACCAGUGCUCAGAGACUUCUCCUGGGAACCCCCAGCUGUGGAAGGACGCAAGCCAAGUAUCAAUGGCUGCAUCCCAGGUCGAGGAAGCAGACAGAGGUGGUCCCUGGGAUCUGGUUCCAGCCUCCCCAGUGCCGGGAUACCCAGCGGGUAUUUUCCUGCACCGCAGCUCGCCACCUUGUUGUCAGAACGGCAAAGCGUGCCCUUAUCGCCUGCUCACGCAGGCAGAAUGAAAGAGAAUUAGCUCUAAAUUAUAGGAAAUUCAUUUGCUUUGCAGGGUGAAGUGUUUGCUCUGUUUAGAAACGUUCGUUGUAGAGAGAGGACCGCAUUAAGACACCGGGUAAUGGUCCUCCCAGGAGAUGAAUCAAUUUGCUCUGGGUUUUAUGGCCUCGGGUUUGUUUGUCCGCGCCGGUUCCCCGUGGAAAACCCGGAGCAGUAAAUGCUCCAGGUAACAGAUCUCUGGGGAAGGGGCUGUGGGUGCUGCUCUGGGGCCGGGGCACAAGACGUCUCCGGAUCAGAGGACAGCCGUGCCUGAGAGAGACCUGAGAGGAGACA